rnacentral:rRNA from 1 species
AGGACGAACGCUGGCGGCGUGCCUAACACAUGCAAGUCGAACGAAGCACUUCACUCGGAGAUUCGUCGAAGAGUGAUUUGACUUAGUGGCGGACGGGUGAGUAAUGCGUGAGCAACCUGCCCUUCAGAGGGGACAACAGUUGGAAACGACUGCUAAUACCGCAUAACAUCAUCGGGAGGCAUCUCCCGGUGAUCAAAGAUUUAUCGCUGAAGGAUGGGCUCACGUCUGAUUAGCUGGUUGGUGGGGUAACGGCCCACCAAGGCUGCGAUCAGUAGCCGGACUGAGAGGUUGAACGGCCACAUUGGGACUGAGAUACGGCCCAGACUCCUACGGGAGGCAGCAGUGGGGAAUAUUGGGCAAUGGGCGAAAGCCUGACCCAGCAACGCCGCGUGAAGGAAGAAGGCCUUCGGGUUGUAAACUUCUUUUAUGAGGGACGAAGGACGUGACGGUACCUCAUGAAUAAGCCACGGCUAACUACGUGCC